rnacentral:misc_RNA from 1 species
GAUGAAGAACGCAGCGAAAUGCGAUACGUAAUGUGAAUUGCAGAAUUCAGUGAAUCAUCGAAUCUUUGAACGCAUAUUGCGCUCUCUGGUAUUCCGGAGAGCAUGCUUGUUUGAGUAUCAGUAAACACCUCAACUCCCUUUUCUUUUUUGAAAUUGGAGCUGGACUUGAGUGAUCCCAACGCUUUCUUCCAAGAAAGUGGCGGGUUGCUUGAAAUGCAGGUGCAGCUGAACUUUUCUCUGAGCUAUAAGCAUAUCUAUUUAGUCUGCCUAAAAAACAGAUUAUUACCUUUGCUGCAGCUAACAUAAAGGAGACUAGUUCUUGUGCUGACUGAUGCAGGAUUCACAGAGACAGCUUCGGCUGACUUUGUAAACUCGAUCUCAAAUCAAGAAAGACUACCCGCUGAACUUAAGCAUAUCAAUAAGCGGAGGA